UCACUGUUGAGGAGUCCCAAAAUAGGACGAAACGGUCGUCCAGUGC
rnacentral:hammerhead_ribozyme from 1 species